CAUUUUUCCACAGGCAGAGACUCUAGGCGCAAAUAAGCAAUAAAACCAGCCAUGGCUGAUGUCAGAACCAGCUGCAUGGAAUAAUGACCCCCAUGCCCUGGUGCCAGCCAAUCAAUCAGUGGAGACCACAGCCCUG